UACAGGCUUAACACAUGCAAGUCGAGGGGCAGCAUUUCAGUUUGCUUGCAAACUGGAGAUGGCGACCGGCGCACGGGUGAGUAACACGUAUCCAACCUGCCGAUAACUCGGGGAUAGCCUUUCGAGAGAAAGAUUAAUACCCGAUGGUAUAAUUAGACCGCAUGGUCUUGUUAUUAAAGAAUUUCGGUUAUCGAUGGGGAUGCGUUCCAUUAGGCAGUUAGUGAGGUAACGGCUCACCAAACCUUCGAUGGAUAGGGGUUCUGAGAGGAAGGUCCCCCACAUUGGAACUGAGACACGGUCCAAACUCCUACGGGAGGCAGCAGUGAGGAAUAUUGGUCAAUGGGCGCAGGCCUGAACCAGCCAAGUAGCGUGAAGGAUGACUGCCCUAUGGGUUGUAAACUUCUUUUAUAUGGGAAUAAAGUUUUCCACGUGUGGAAUUUUGUAUGUACCAUAUGAAUAAGGAUCGGCUAACUCCGUGCCAGCAGCCGCGGUAAUACGGAGGAUCCGAGCGUUAUCCGGAUUUAUUGGGUUUAAAGGGAGCGUAGGUGGACAGUUAAGUCAGUUGUGAAAGUUUGCGGCUCAACCGUAAAAUUGCAGUUGAUACUGGCUGUCUUGAGUACAGUAGAGGUGGGCGGAAUUCGUGGUGUAGCGGUGAAAUGCUUAGAUAUCACGAAGAACUCCGAUUGCGAAGGCAGCUCACUGGACUGCAACUGACACUGAUGCUCGAA
rnacentral:rRNA from 1 species